AACGUGCUCCGGGGUCGGUGAGAAUCCGAACCGGCGGUGAAAGUCCGCGAGCCGUGUCCUCCGCAAGGAAGAGACGGUUGAGCCGGUGAAAUUCCGGCACCGACGGUUAAAGUCCGGAUGGGAGGAUGCACGCG
rnacentral:ncRNA from 1 species